UUAGCUUCAGUCGCUGCAGGAGACGCGGGCGCCAUUCUCCCUCCAUCGAAGCAUUCAAGGCUAAAACGAAGCGUUGCUGUUUACUAAUUCCUGCUAAUUUAAGCUUUUUCGGAAUUUGUUGAUUUUGUUUAUUUUUUUGUUGUUUGGGGAAGGAGGUGGAGGAAUCAUUCAUGGCGCUCAUGACGUUAGGUUCCAAGUCUGAAAUAUUUCAGCGUGACGGCCAAUCAUGGCAUUGCAGUUCUUCUGGUCUCCAGAGUGACGUCACAAUUGAGAUUGGGGAGCUGAAUUUUCAUCUACACAAGUUUCCUUUGAUGUCAAGGAGUGGGCUAUUGGAGAAGCUUCUGAAAGAAUCUAAUUCUACCGAUGGAUCUCCUUGUGUUCUACAACUCAACGAGGUUCCUGGUGGAGCUGCAGCUUUUAAGAUAGUAGCCAGAUUCUGUUACGGCGUUAAGAUAGAGCUUACGUCGAGGAAUGUAGUGAGUGUUAGAUGUGCUGCCGAGUACCUGCAAAUGACAGAAGAGUAUGGAGAGGGAAAUCUAGUAGCACAAACAGAGGCUUUCUUUAUUGAAGUUUUCAGCAAUUGGACAGACACAAUAAAAGCUCUUGAAACAUGUGAAGAGGUUCUGAUGCAGGCGGAAGAGCUUCAUAUUGUGUCGAGAUGCAUACAGUCUCUGGCGACGAAGACUUGCUCUGAUCCCAUGUUGGUCAAUUGGUCUGUAUCUGGAAACAACGAGAACGAUGGCAGCUCAGGAUCUGGGCUGUGGAAUGGGAUACAUAGCGGAACAAAGCCACAGGCUGUGAGUGAUGACUGGUGGUAUAAGGAUGUGUCCUUCCUUAGUUUGCCUCUUUUUAAACGCCUGAUUCGAGCUGUUGAGGCAGGGGGAAUGAGGGCUGAAUGUGUUGCUGGAGCUUUGGUCUUUUAUGCGAAGAAAUACAUACCGCAGAUGAGUAAGCAAUCCAGCUACAAAACUAUGAAUGCAGCUUCAUCAAUUUCGAUCCCUUCUGAGGCUGAUCAAAAAGCACUUCUUGAAGAGAUAGUAGACUUACUUCCGAAUCAGAAAGGAGUGGUUCUAACAAGGUUCCUUCUCAGUUUGUUGAGAACAGCUAUGGUUUUGCAGGCUAGUGCAGCCUGCAGGGAAAAUUUGGAGAGAAGGGUAGGAUUGCAGUUAGACCAGGCUGCAUUAGAAGAUCUGUUGAUACAAAACAUGGGCUACUCCGGGGAGACGUUGUAUGAUGUCGACUGUUUUCAGAGAAUUCUUGAUCAUUUUUCAUCAAUGGAGCAGUCAUCAACUGUUGCUUCUCCAACUGUUGUUGAAGAAAGUCAGUUAAUGGAAGGGACGCGGUCGUUAACAUCCUUGGCAACUGUGGCUGAUCUGGUGGAUGCUUAUCUUGCUGAGGUAGCACCAGAUGUUAAUUUGAAGUUCUCCAAAUUCCAAACACUUGCGGCUGCAAUUCCUGAUUAUGCCAGGACGCUUUCGGAUGGAAUAUAUCGUGCAAUUGAUAUAUACCUGAAGGCACAUUCUUGGCUUACAGACACUGAGCGGGAGCAGAUCUGUCGUCUCAUGAAUUGCCAAAAGCUUUCAAUGGAGGCAUGCACUCAUGCUGCCAAAAAUGAGAGGUUACCCCUAAGAGUGAUAGUGCAAGUCUUGUUCUUUGAGCAGCUGCGAUUGCGAACGUCGAUCUCUGGUUGGUUCUUCGACAACCUGGAGAACUCUGAAAAUCCAAAUUCAGUUUUUGCACACUACAAGAAUGAUAACUCCCGCCAAAGGGAUGGCAAAAUGCCGGGUUUAGAAGAUAUGAGGGAACGGGUAUCCGAUUUAGAGAAGGAGUGCGAAAGCAUGAGAGAGGAGUUUCAUAAGCUGGUUAAAACAAGGAAUUUCUGGAACUUGUUCUUCAGGCGGAGAUCAAACAACACCAAGUCCAAGCCAGUGAAGCAUCGCAGUGUCAAAACAUAAAGCUGUAGCCUUCAAAUGUCCAUCGUUAGGUAAUUCGUGCUACUGUUUGAAAGAUCGAAAAAUAUUUGGAAUGCUCUGAUCGGAGACAGAGCCUUGAGGAUAGAAAUGAGCUGCAGAUCAAUAGGCCUACCUUAUCUGUACGAAGGUAACAUGCGUACGUAGAUAUUUAUUUCCUUCCAAAAAUUUUCAGACCAUGGUAGCUAUAGCUUCUUGCAAUUUUCAAAGUGUUUUAAGGUUAUUGCUGAGUUUAAAUUCAUAGUAUAGAGAUAGUUGCAUGCAGUGGACAAUCUGUAGGCAUAUUUGAAUAAUGUCUUUGCAUGUAUUAUGACAUCACACUGUCUUUGUCUCUAGAAGCUGACUUGGAUUUAAUUGAAUUGAAUUGU